rnacentral:rRNA from 1 species
GAACCGCUUCGGUGGUGGAUUAGUGGCGAACGGGUGAGUAACACGUGGGCAAUCUGCCCUUCACUCUGGGACAAGCCCUGGAAACGGGGUCUAAUACCGGAUAAUACUCCUGCCUGCAUGGGUGGGGGUUGAAAGCUCCGGCGGUGAAGGAUGAGCCCGCGGCCUAUCAGCUUGUUGGUGGGGUAAUGGCCUACCAAGGCGACGACGGGUAGCCGGCCUGAGAGGGCGACCGGCCACACUGGGACUGAGACACGGCCCAGACUCCUACGGGAGGCAGCAGUGGGGAAUAUUGCACAAUGGGCGAAAGCCUGAUGCAGCGACGCCGCGUGAGGGAUGACGGCCUUCGGGUUGUAAACCUCUUUCAGCAGGGAAGAAGCGCAAGUGACGGUACCUGCAGAAGAAGCGCCGGCUAACUACGUGCCAGCAGCCGCGGUAAUACGUAGGGCGCAAGCGUUGUCCGGAAUUAUUGGGCGUAAAGAGCUCGUAGGCGGCU